GUCAGCACCAUUCUGGUGGCCCAGUACUCUAUGAAACUAUGAAAGAAAAAUUCCACUAGCCAGCAGGGUCAGUGUGCUUGUCAGGUUACUCUCUUAGAAGGGAUCCUGGUCAAAUGUGUAGGCUACCACAAGGGCAUGAACCCAGAACUCCCUAGGCAUGUGGUCCACUCUGCCUAUGAUGGUGGUUGGGGUGAAGGGUUGAACAUCCCCAAAGAGAAGCAGGAACUAGGACCUAUUCAGGUCCCUCUCUGGGUUCUGCCUGGAUGGUACUGCUGAUUUUGGAUUUUCCCAGACAUUGGGGGGGGGGUCUUAAGACAUCCCAAAGUAUAGGGGUUCCCCUGAUAUGUGGAGUUAGAAUUGGGGCCCUGGUUUCUUGGGUCUGAGGGCAAAGCAGUGCAGCUUCCAUCAACCAAGCCGGUAGGAGUUUACUAUUCCAUUUUUCAUGUAAAGUCUUUAUAAUAGAGUUAAGCUGUCAGUAGCUGUGCAGGAGAGAGGACAGAGUGCCUCACUUCAACCUGCUUUGGUUUGAGUCCUAGAUAUCCCCCAUAUUAGCUGGAUGAUCUUGGAUGAGUUAAUCUUAAGGAACCUCAGUUUCUUCAUCUCUUCCAUAAAACAAAGGCACCACUGAACCCUGGUACUCUAAGGGAUGACAGCUAUCAUGCUCACAUCUGCCCCUCAUUUCUUUCAUCUUUUAGUGUUGUGAGAGUCAAUAGAGAAGGUAUAUGCAAAACCACCUGGCAUAUACUAGGCUUAUUUCAACACUGAGCAUUAAAUGAGCUGGUGUAUAUGUAUGUGUAUGUGUGCGCGCGCACACACUAGGGGAGGAAAAGCAAGUGGUGGAUUUUUCUGGUGCCUAUGCUCCCAAUGGCUGAUUUCAAAUUACCAACAUGGUGUCUCUGAAUGUGGAUCUGGGAAGACAUGCUAACAACUGGCUCUGCUGAGCAGGGAAAAGCUAGCUCCAGCAUUCACUGGUUGAACUCUUAUAUGCCAGGCAGUGUUCAGUGCUGGUGAUACGUGUUGAAUAUGAAUGAAACUUAAAGUUCUUUUCUCUGUACUCUUUUUUCCCCUUCCCAACCAAAGGUAUGUGCUUCCGAAAUACUUUGCAAAUGAGAUGUAGUUCUAGGUAAAUAAGCAAGAACCUAAUGACCUCUCAAGGUAUCUCUCAGCACUUGCUUGAACCAGUAGAGGAAGUGUGAUUUCUGGUUUCUUUGCAAGCCAGCAGUCUUGUUUCCAUAGAGCCGAGUGGUAUGAAUAAGGCCAGAAAAGCUGCUUCUCUCAUUGGUUUGGUGUUUGGUGUUGAUGGAGACACUUCAUUUCCUGGAGGCCCACUCAGCAAUACUAGAAGGGCAAGGUGCUUGCUCGUUCAUUCAUUAUCGUGGGGCCUGAAUGACCCUGUGAGACAAGAGUCAUUUCCCAGCUGCAUGAGGUCACAACUUGCUAGCCAUACCCACACUUCAUUCUCCCAGGGCACUUCGAUGAUGCUGGGGAUUCCAUUAUGACUGACACCUGAUAUCUAAUAGGAAAGCAAUGGAACUGUUCUCAAAGUGGGAAAAUGAUUUUUUUUUUUUUGAAGGUUGUAGAAGGGAGCAGGUUGAGAAAUAGCUACCUUGAGUACUUGGAAAUGUGUAAACUGGUAAAACUAGUGAGCAAGGAAAAUAGGUUGUCUCUAGUACUCCGUCUUGAGUCACUGCGUUCAUAUACUGUAAGUUGCUUUAUAUCAUUUCUCAGAAGGCAAUUUCUUUUUCAGGUUAAGUUUCCGUACAAGGCAAUAUUAAGGGAGGAAAAAAGCACAAUGCAAGCACUGUUCUUAUUGCUGUUUAAAAAUGCCCACUAAAAAUAAAGCUAAUAUGUUUCCUGUUUAAUACUAGACACACUGAAAUUUAAUAUAAAAAUUGGGACCCUGAUGGAGGUUUCUUUUUUUUUUGUGGAUAAACUUACAAAAUUUAUUUGGGAUGUUUGAGAUUAUUCUACUUUUUCAUUUUAACUAUAUUUGGAAAAUUAAAUUAUGUAUUUAAUUCAAGCUACACUGCCAAUAUUUGGAAUAAACAUUUAGAAUAAAGGGGAAACUCUCAGAGUUUCAAAAUGGCUUUACCAUAUAGAUAGAAUAAAUUUAGACUCAAGGAUAAUAGAAAAACAACUGCAGUUUAUUUUUGGAACCAGAAUGGGUACGGGUGGGGAGUGAUUUCACUAGCAGAUAGGUGCCUGGAGGUUUUUUUUCCUGAGUUUUUCCACUCUAGACAACUUUAAUUGAUUUCUCAUAUGUUAAGGAUUUAGUAUUGUUGGUUGGCUUCCACGAUAACUUACAUUUAUUAUAGGAUAACAUGUAAUUUUCCAGGUUGGAAUUUUUGG
rnacentral:lncRNA from 1 species